CAGUCGCCACGGUAAUACAGAGGGUGCGAGCGUUAAUCGGAUUUACUGGGCGUAAAGCGUGCGUAGGCGGCUUUUUAAGUCGGAUGUGAAAUCCCUGAGCUUAACUUAGGAAUUGCAUUCGAUACUGGGAAGCUAGAGUAUGGGAGAGGAUGGUAGAAUUCCAGGUGUAGCGGUGAAAUGCGUAGAGAUCUGGAGGAAUACCGAUGGCGAAGGCAGCCAUCUGGCCUAAUACUGACGCUGAGGUACGAAAGCAUGGGGAGCAAACAGGAUUAGAGACCCGAGUAGUCCCUGUCUCUUAUAC
rnacentral:rRNA from 1 species